AACCCAUGGUGAGGGCACCUUCUCAAUAGGUCAUUGUAUCUCUCCCAUGCAUCAUUGAGUGUCUCUAGAUCCAUCUGCACAAAAGAAGAGAUAUCAUUCCUCAAUUU
rfam:Gossypium arboreum cultivar AKA8401 contig_140412_1, whole genome shotgun sequence.